rnacentral:lncRNA from 1 species
GUGAGAACUACCCCUUUUGGUCUCUUGACUCCAUUUUAACGAGGUUUCGGUUUAUUAGUUUCUACAGUUUCUGAGAUCCCUAUUCAAACGUCCUCUUCUCCCUGAAUAUAAGCGCCAUGAGAGGAGAAGUUUGUAUCUGUCUGUUUUGCUCACUACUGUAUCCCCAGCACCUAGAACAGAGCCUGGCACACAGGCCAAUGGAAGCUUCCUUUGCCGGGUGAGAUGGAAGUGGACUCUCAGAUUGGCGCUGAAAAGGAAGAAGAAUGGAGGGGGGGGUCCCAGGGGGGCCACUUACUUCCCAGUGCUUUUCUGGGCCUUUUUCCUCCUCCUCCUCCUCCCAAGUUUCGAAUAAAGACAGCUGCUUCUUUGAGAACGCUUACCAGUGCUCAGCUUGGUUCAAGGAUAAAAAGAGAGUCAGAAAUGAAUAAUUCUGAAUACUUUACUGUGGAAUUCUCCUAAUGUCCCAAACUGAAGUCUGUUUCGUUGCCUGGGUUGGAAAGUAAGAUUCAUUAUGAAUUUAUUUCUCCCGCAACUUCUGCUGCAGAAAUCUCCAUGAUUCUAGGAUUUGGAUGCAUUCUAGGAUGCAGUCUAUGCAGGGUAAAGGGACAGAGGAAGGGACAACAAGCAAUGCAUGUUACAAUUUAGGCUAUAGUUUAGGCCAUGUGUUAGACUCAUCUGUAGCUCCAGUACCUUGAAAUACUUGGAUGGACCCAGAGAUAAAUCAGAGUGGAGAAAGGAUUUGGAGUAACUAGAUGGCUCCAAAAUGCCUCCCAGAAGGCUGAUUGGAGUCUGAGUUCCUCUCAGACAGCACAGAAUUGGAUUGUUUAACUUGAUGUCCCCACCCCGUCUUCAGCAGCCCCACCAACAUGCAGCCCAGUCUCGG